GACAGACGAGUUUAUGGAUUAUGAAGACAAUACGCUGUUGUACAGUGAGGAAUACCAAGAAAUUGUACGACAAAGAGAAAUAUUUAUUAUUAGACGACAUGUUCAGCUUAUAAGGGCGUUGAAGUUGGCCAAUACUAUAACCUCACAAUUAUUACCUUGGGGAUCUUUGGCUUUCCUUGCAAUGGCUCUCAGCGCUCUAAGUUCUGCAUAUUUAAUUGAAGCGGACUCAUUGUACUGGAAAUAUUUUCAACAAAUGCUGUUGGUAACAACUUCAUCUGUGACAGGAUUUUUAAUCAUUCAAUGUGGACAGCAAAUAGAGAAUGAGGUUUGCAAAAGAAUUCAACACAUGUUUGUGAUUUGUAAAUUCAUUACCACAUUUAUCUACUACUUACUAAAC